CGUACCCCGGACUUGGACACCGUAAUGUUGGGUUCUUUUAUCUUGGCCAUGGCUAUGUGUGUGGAAGCAGUAUCCUCGUGAGAAAUAAACCGGCCAAGCUUUUUAAUUUUGUUUCGGGCCUUGUACGAAAUCCAACAUCCACAAUGGAAGCUGAUAUACCUUACUUGCUUCGUUAACCUGUUAAUUAAAAUUAUGUCAAUGAUAAAUUCACAUUGAUAAUCAAUUUAUAUCAAAAACUUACAUAGUUUCUCACCCAUUCCGCAUAGUGGUUGUCUUUUGCUAUUUGUAGAUCAUUACCACAUAUAUUUGGGUUGUUGUCCAUCAUAAACUCCUCAAACAUCCUGU
rnacentral:lncRNA from 1 species